rnacentral:rRNA from 1 species
AUGCAAGUCGAGGGGUAUAGUAGCAAUACUAGAGACCGGCGCACGGGUGCGUAACGCGUAUGCAAUCUACCUUUUACAGAGGGAUAGCCCAGAGAAAUUUGGAUUAAUACCUCAUAGUAUAGCGACCUGGCAUCAGGAUGUUAUUAAAGUCACAACGGUAAAAGAUGAGCAUGCGUCCCAUUAGCUAGUUGGUAAGGUAACGGCUUACCAAGGCGACGAUGGGUAGGGGUCCUGAGAGGGAGAUCCCCCACACUGGUACUGAGACACGGACCAGACUCCUACGGGAGGCAGCAGUGAGGAAUAUUGGACAAUGGGCGCAAGCCUGAUCCAGCCAUGCCGCGUGCAGGAUGACGGUCCUAUGGAUUGUAAACUGCUUUUGUACAGGAAGAAACCCUUUCACGUGUGAAAGAUUGACGGUACUGUAAGAAUAAGGAUCGGCUAACUCCGUGCCAGCAGCCGCGGUAAUACGGAGGAUCCAAGCGUUAUCCGGAAUCAUUGGGUUUAAAGGGUCCGUAGGCGGCCAGAUAAGUCAGUGGUGAAAGCCCAUCGCUCAACGGUGGAACGGCCAUUGAUACUGUCUGGCUUGAAUUACAAGGAAGUAACUAGAAUAUGUAGUGUAGCGGUGAAAUGCUUAGAGAUUACAUGGAAUACCAAUUGCGAAGGCAGGUUACUACUUGUGGAUUGACGCUGAUGGACGAAAGCGUGGGUAGCGAACAGGAUUAGAUACCCUGGUAGUCCACGCCGUAAACGAUGGAUACUAGCUGUUGGGAGCAAUCUCAGUGGCUAAGCGAAAGUGAUAAGUAUCCCACCUGGGGAGUACGGGCGCAAGCCUGAAACUCAAAGGAAUUGACGGGGGCCCGCACAAGCGGUGGAGCAUGUGGUUUAAUUCGAUGAUACGCGAGGAACCU